AACAGGUUUUGUAUUAGUCACAAUGAAGUUCCUCCACGGAUCCGCUCCGUCGUCUCCUCCUCCGCCGCCGCGUGAUGCAUUAUUCGAUCUCGAUGCGGUGGAGGAGCUCGGAAUAAUCGCGGGAUCCACCGGCGGGGUGAGUUGGUGAGCCGGAGUGGCAUCGGAAACUCCGUUUCUGUUGCCGAUCUCUCGUUUUCUUCCGGUUUCGAUGUCGCCGAAUGCGACGUCUUCUGCAGCAGAUAUAAGUUGCGAAAGAGAGACAUGGGUCUCAGAGAAGGAAGAGUAGAAUCAAUGGCAGACUGAAAGCUAGGUUUACGGCAUGAACACUUUAUCAUGGAAGACUGGAUAAUGAUGCUUCAAUGCUGGAUGAAGCGAUCGAGCUUCUGCUUCGAUUUGCAGGAGUCCUGGAUCCAUUGCCAUUGUGUCGAGCUGGAGGAGCGAGUUGUCUCGGAGGAUAUGGACAAGUGCAUUCCACUCCACAACCCCGCUUUCUGGUCCGACGAAAACUUUACUCAAACUCUGCUUUCGAUUAUCUGACCAAUUUGUCAAACCCUCGAUCUCUGAUCACGGAAACUGCCGUAACAUCGGAGAUGCAAUUCAAAUCAUCGCUACGAUGGAUCAUCUAGGAUCUGAACAUCGUCGGAGGUAAGUACAUAAGGUGGUGACGCUUGGUGAGCAAUCUCCGGGUUUGCGGACGAUUGCGGUUUAGAGUGCGCGAGAUUGGAACAGUUCCAAUCGGUCGUAAUCACAGCAAAACGUUAUUAGUCUUAA